CCUACGGGUGGCAGCAGUGGGGAAUAUUGCGCAAUGGGGGAAACCCUGACGCAGCAACGCCGCGUGAGUGAGGAAGUAUCUCGGUAUGUAAAGCUCUAUCAGCGGGGAAGAAAGAGGACGGUACCUGACUAAGAAGCCCCGGCUAACUACGUGCCAGCAGCCGCGGUAAUACGUAGGGGGCGAGCGUUAUCCGGAUUCACUGGGUGUAAAGGGAGCGUAGACGGCCAUGCAAGCCAGGGGUGAAAGCCCGGGGCCCAACCCCGGGACUGCCCUUGGAACUGCAUGGCUGGAGUGCGGGAGGGGCAGGCGGAAUUCCUGGUGUAGCGGUGAAAUGCGUAGAUAUCAGGAGGAACACCGGCGGCGAAGGCGGCCUGCUGGACCGCGACUGACGUUGAGGCUCGAAAGCGUGGGGAGCGAACAGGAUUAGAUACCCUAGUAGUC
rnacentral:rRNA from 1 species